CUUCCUGUUGCAUAUUGGUUCCAUCUUUUCUUUUGCAUCAUGGUAAAUUAUUCUCAUCUUGAUAUAUAUCAUUUGGUCAACUGAAGAUUUGAGUGCAGGGUAGAAUUCUUGGUUGAUUUUAGAAUUUCGUUGUUGAUUAGUUGGCCAACAGACUUUUAUGAAAUUCAAGGCGUCAUUUAGGGUACUAUAUGUCAUAUUUCUCUUAUUUCUAUACUCACAAUAUUUCCGCAUCAUCUGAACAAAUAAUGCUAAAUUGAUAUAAUCAUUCUGGAUCAGUGUCAUCUUCUCAAUGUUGAACAGCCAAAAUAUAUACAUAGUGAGCAGUCCGCCGCACAUGCUCAUACGUCAUAUUUAUGUACUGUUUAACACGGCAAAAAUUGGUCAAACAUUUAAACAUUUAUACUGUUUAACAUAGCCAAAGUAUAUACAUAAUGAUCAGUCCUCCGCUGCACGUUAGAUCCAGCCUCCCUCCCUCGACACCAUUCUUCUUACUUAUUAUUAUUUAUUUUAAAAAUAUCUUUAGUUUUAUUUUCUAGCUACUUCAAUUCAUUUGUAUAUGGUUAGUUCCAUCGCACUACGAGGAUGAUCCAUGGCUGGUCGCGAAUGAUCACCUACGAGGACGAUUCAUGGCCGGUUGGGGAUGGUCAGUUCCAUCACACUGCGAGGAGAUGAUUCAUGGCCGGUCGGGGAUGGUCACCUGCGGUGAGCACGAGUACCUCCUCCAUAUCCUCCCUAUACUAGCACCCUUGGCGAUGAAAAUGACAGCCAGGAGAAUCCCUCCUUCACACCUCUUUUCCAUCUCUGUCAGAUUGUCCUCUCCAGCAAGGUGUCUAUGCAUGAAUCAUAUUUAUGAUUUCUUUGAAUUUUUAACAAUUAAUAUAGAUUUUUGUACCCACAGCCCGAAGGCCAACCUUAAUACUGGACCUCUAGAGGGGCAUGUGGCCAACCAUGCCGGAGGACGCAGAGGAGUUGUUUGGGAAUGUUAUCAUCAGAGGACCCAAGAAGCAACCCACCACGGAUGCAUGGACGAACCACGCAAGUCCAUUCUUGCAAUCCAUCUGUGGCGAGGGUUCAUGACAGACAAGCCAAUAGAUUUGGGGGUCCACUUCCCGGUGAAACAAAUGUUCACUGCGGACAAUACGAAGACGAUGAUUGGUACAAUGAGGUGAAUAUAUUAUAAUUUUUAUUCUUCUCUCUC